rfam:Salmo salar isolate Sally breed double haploid chromosome ssa09, whole genome shotgun sequence.
UAAACACACUAAUUGUAAGUCGCUCUGGAUAAGAGCGUCUGCUAAUUUACUAAAA